rnacentral:rRNA from 1 species
UACAGAGGUGGCAAGCGUUGUUCGGAAUUACUGGGCGUAAAGGGCGAGUAGGUGGCCAUCUAAGUCAGACGUGAAAUCCCCCAGCUUAACCUGGGAACUGCGUCUGAUACUGGAGGGCUUGAGUAUGGGAGAGGGAUGUAGAAUUCCAGGUGUAGCGGUGAAAUGCGUAGAUAUCUAGAGGAAUACCGGUGGCGAAGGCGGCAUCCUGGACCAUUACUGACGCUGAGGCGCGAAAGCUAGGGGAGCAAACGGG